AUGUUUACUGUGGGCUUAGACGUUGAUAUGUGUGCCUACUUCACCGCAGCUACCAUGAUCGUAGCUGUGCCCACAGGAAUCAAAAUCUUUAGUUGGAUCGCUACCAUGUGGGGAGGUUCGAUACAAUACAAAACACCCAUGUUAUUUGCUGUAGGAUUCAUCUUUUUGUUCACCAUAGGAGGGCUCACUGGAAUAGUUCUAGCAAACUCUGGGCUAGACAUUGCUCUACAUGAUACUUAUUAUGUGGUUGCACAUUUCCAUUAUGUACUUUCUAUGGGAGCCGUUUUUGCUUUAUUUCUGGAUUUUACUAUUGGGUGGGUAAAAUCUUUGGUCGGACAUAUCCUGAAACUUUAG
rnacentral:rRNA from 1 species